GUCGUAUCUUUGUUUCAUUUUUACAUUCACUAUUUUUUAUUUGUUUCUUCUAUAAAAAUUGCUCAAUCAAAGAAACAAAUCGUGAAAAAUUACAAUGAUAAACUAUUGGCUUGCGGAGGUCAAUCCAUUAAUUUAGUUAUUUCCUUUCAUUAUUUUCGGCCUAAUCACUCUUUCGGCUGCAAAUGAAAAAUGGACCUCCAAAGCAUGUUUGUCUCUCCUGCUAGGGAUCGCAGUUUGACCAGUUUGUCAAAAAGUGCUUCCCAACAGAAUAGACAGUUGGUCCCAUGAUCCAGUCCAUCCAUUUAUUCAUCCUUGUUCUAUUGGUGUAAGAGGAAGAAGAAAAAAAAUAU